UUAAGACACCUUCCAUAGGCUGAGAAAAUUGCAUCCUAGAAGCACCCACUUCUCUUCAGUGACUAGAAACAGUUUAGUUAACUUGCUCAGAAGUCAGCAGGCACUUACAGGUAUCUAGAUCCUACGCAGAAUAACCAGAAGUCAUUACUAUUUAGUGGGUCAACAAAGAGAACAUAUCAGGGAUUUCA